rnacentral:rRNA from 1 species
GAUGAACGCUGACAGAAUGCUUAACACAUGCAAGUCAACUUGAACUUCGGUUUGGGUGGCGGACGGGUGAGUAACGCGUAAAGAACUUGCCUCACAGAUAGGGACAACAUUUGGAAACGAAUGCUAACACCUGAUAUUAUGGUUUUAGGGCAUCCUAGAAUUAUGAAAGCUAUAUGCGCUGUGGGAGAGCUUUGCGUCCCAUUAGCUAGUUGGAGAGGUAACGGCUCACCAAGGCGAUGAUGGGUAGCCGGCCUGAGAGGGUGAUCGGCCACAAGGGGACUGAGACACGGCCCUUACUCCUACGGGAGGCAGCAGUGGGGAAUAUUGGACAAUGGACCAAGAGUCUGAUCCAGCAAUUCUGUGUGCACGAUGAAGUUUUUCGGAAUGUAAAGUGCUUUCAGUUGGAAGAAAAAA